CUUGGGACCCAAACUAUGUUUAAAAGUUCCUAGUUAAACGUUAAAUAGUGUAGUCUUUACAUUAAUCUGGACUCUGACGCUUUAUUUCUUCAGUUCACUAAAUGUUAAAGACAUUUUUAGACAGUAAAAAACACGAAAGUUAUAAAACAAAUAGCAUAUUGGUGUGAAAUGCCUUUAAAUACAGAGGACGUGUAUUUUAGUUUCCUGUCAUAACUUUUAAAACUCCCAGAAUGCAAGCUGUCCUUUUCCUCAGACAUCUUACAAUUAUAAAAUGCUUUCAAAAAGGAAAAACAAAGGUAUAGCAAGAAGAAAUCCCUGAGAAUGUACUGGAUGUUCCAUUGGGCUGUGAUGUAGACUGUAUUCACAGAAAGAGAAAGAUUAGUCCGAAAACAAGCUGUUAAAAACAAAAAGGAAGAAAAGAAAACGGAAGAAGAAGAAAAGAAAAG
rnacentral:lncRNA from 1 species